rnacentral:lncRNA from 1 species
UUUUUUUUUUUUUUUUGAGAUGGAGUCUCACUCUGUCACCCAGGCUGGAGUGCAGUGGCCAGAUCUCAGCUCACUGCAAGCUCCGCCUCCCGGGUUUAGGCCAUUCUCCUGCCUCAGCCUCCUAAGUAGCUGGGACUACAGGCGCCCGUCACCUCGCCCGGCUAGUUUUUUUGUAUUUUUUAGUAGAGACGGGGUUUCACCGUGUUCGCCAGGAUGAUCUCGAUCUCCUGACCUCGUGAUCCGCCCAUCUCGGCCUCCCAAAGUGCUGGGAUUACAGGCUUGAGCCACCGCGCCCGGCCUGGUCUUAAACUCUUGACCUCAGGUGAUCCACCCGCCUUGGCCUCCCAGAGUGCUGGGAUGACAGGUGUGAGACACCGUGCCCAGCCAGCAGCUUUAUUCUUAAUUGCCAAACCUUGGAAACAACCAAGAUAUCCUUCAGCAGGGGAGUGGAGCAACCAACAAUGGUGCAUCCAUGUAAUGGAGUAUUAUUCAACUCUGAGAAGAAAUGAGCUGUCCAACCAUGAAAAGACAGGAAGGAACCACAAAUCAUGCCGUUAAAUGAAAGAAGCCAACCUGAAAGUUUACAAACUGUAUGGUUCCAACUGUAGGACAUUCAGGAAAAGGCAAAACUACAGUUAAAAGAUUUUCUGGGGAUUUAUGGGGAGGGGUGAGAAAUGAAUAGAGGGGCCUAGGGGAUUUUGAAGGCAGUGAAACUAUGCCAUUAGGUACUGUAAGGGUGUAUAUGUUACCAUACAUUUGUCAAAAAUCAUAAAAUGAACAACAGGAGUGAACCCUGAUGUAAACCACUGAUUUUAAUUAACAAUAAUGUAGCAAUAUUAAGUCAUCAAUUAUAAGAAAUGUACCACACCAGUGCCAGAUGUUAAUAAUAGGGGAAAUUGGGAGCGAUGGUAUAUGGGAACUCUCUGUACUUUCCACUCGAUUUUUCUGUAAAUCUAAAACUGAUUAAAAAUUUUGUCUAUUAAUUUUUUAAAAUAGUUCUAUCUCCUUGGGUAAUUGCUUAACCUUUCUAGAUCUUCAUUUCAAUUUCCUUAGCUAUGAAAUGAGGGAGCUUGACACGUGCUUAUGUGGCUAAUGGCUACCAUCUUCGAUGGUGCAGGUCUGGAAGAUUGCCACGGCCUUUCUUUUCCUCCUAUGCCUUUUAUUUAUUUAUUUUGUUUGAAACCGGGUCUCGCUCUGUCGCCCAGGCUGGAGUGCAGUGGCGUGAUCUUGGCUCACUGCAAGCUCCGCCUUCUGUAUUCAAGAGAUUCUCCUGCCUCAGUCGGCCGAGUAGCUGGGACUACAGGUGCGCGCUACCAUGCCCAGCUAAUUUUUUUGUAUUUUUAGUAGAGACGGUGUUUCACCAUGUUAGCCAGGAUGGUCUUGAUCUCUUGACCUCGUGAUCCGCCCGCCUCAGCCUCCC